rnacentral:tRNA from 1 species
AUUAAAAUAGCUCAAAAAGAGUAUUGCAUUGAAGCUGUAAAGGUGACUUUUGUCUUUUAAUA